CCCUCACGGCGCUCCCCCCCAGGACAGCCCAAAACCGCCCCGAAAAUACCCAAAACCGCCCCAAAAAUACCCAAAUCCGCCGCCAAAAAUACCCAAAACCGCCCCGAAACCACCAUAAACCACCCGAAAAGCACCUCCGGGACCGCCUUUGGAGCUCAGCUGUCCGUGUGUCCAUCCCGGGGGCCACGCCCCCAGCGCUUCCCCGACCCGUUAAUUAAUUCAUUCAUUGAUUAAUGGAUGGAUUAAUUAGCGCGGCGGUAAUUGGGGGGCGGCGCUCAUCGGAGCAUUACGGCAGCGCGCAUGCGCGGAUUCGGCCGCUGCCGUAAUUACGGGAGGAGCGAGCGCUCCCCAAAUUCCCCCAAAAAUCCCCAAAAAUCACAAAGGGAAACAAAUAAAAUAAAGCCCAAAACAGCCAAAAAUCCCUGAAAAUCCACAAAUCCCAAAAGUCCCAAAGAACUCGAACUGCCCCAAAAAUAACUCAAGAAAAUCUCCCAAAAAACCCCAGAAAAUCCCCCCAAAAUUAAAAAAAAAAAAAAACAAAAAAAAA